UACAGAGGGUGCGAGCGUUAAUCGGAAUUACUGGGCGUAAAGCGCGCGUAGGCGGCUUUGCAAGUCGGAUGCGAAAUCCCCGGGCUUAACCUGGGAACUGCAUUCGAGACUGCAUUGCUAGAGUAUGGGAGAGGGAAGUGGAAUUUCCGGUGUAGCGGUGAAAUGCGUAGAUAUCGGAAGGAACAUCAGUGGCGAAAGCGACUUCCUGGACCAAUACUGACGCUCAUGUGCGAAAGCGUGGGGAGCAAACAGG
rnacentral:rRNA from 1 species